AGAGGCGACAUAAACCGAAAUUGACUAUAUUAUUGCAAUUAGCCUAAUUUUUAGAGCCUACGAUAAAAUUUAAUUAAAAAUUGAUUCGAAUCAAAAUAAUCAAAUUAAUUCGAUUUAAUUAAGUUCAUUUGAUUAGGCCUAAGCCUUGAUUAGUCAAUAUAAUUAGUGAAACCUAUAUUUGUGCUAAUUAGGGGCUUGACUCAUAUCAUUAAGCUCAUUUCUCACCUCUUGGUUGAGUCUAUACACUUUAGAGAGGGAAAAUACUUGAUUUAGAGAGAGAGAGAGAGAGAGAGAGAGAGAGAGAGAGACCAAAUUCUUAGAGAAUUGACUUCAAGGUUGAAGAAUUGGGAAGCUAGGCUCAAGAAUUUGAUAAAGUUAGAAGGAUUGAAGGCUCCAAGUGAGUAUUUGGACUCUAAUUCAUAAGUUAAAGUUCAUGAAUAUGUUCAUGAAUAUGUGUAUUCAAGAAGAAUUGGUGAAUUGUUGUAGAAUACAAACUUAAUAUGAAGAAUUUGGUGCCAAAGUGCUCAUGCAUGCAUAAUUUUGUUAAGCCACAUGAUUUUCACCAUCAUUUCUACCAUUUGAAAUGGUAUUAGAAUCCAUAUCACACAUGCAUGCAUAAUCCAUGUAGUUAUGAAGCUUGGUUGCAUAUGUUUUGAAGUUGUCAAGAAGAAUAUGAAAUGAUUUGAGAAUUGGAUCAUGGUUUUGGACAAUUGAUCUCAAAUUACUCAUGUUCUCAUGCUAUAUGCUGUCUUUCCAUGUUUUUGUACCAAAAACACGAGCUUUGGACCUUUGAACAUGAAGUUUGAGCUUCAAAUACAAUUCUGGAAUUCCAGAAUUCGUCAUGUCCGCUUGAGUGAGGAAAGUGUCACUCAAGCGUAAAAAUCAGGCUCCCAGAAGUUUUGCAGACAUUGAUGUCCGUUCGAGCGAGAAGAAUUGCGCUCAAGCACCCACUCACAUGUUUUGACUAUUGGCUCGAGUGACCAAAAUCAUGCUCAAGCGCAAAAAAUGAGGCAGCCAAUACUUUUGCAGACCAAAGGGGUCCGCUCGAGUGAGAAAAGCUGCGCUCGAGCGAAGAACCCUGUUUCAGAAAUUUUGAAAAGUUGUUUUAUGAUUCGUUUUUUGUUCUCUUUCAUUUCUAAGCACUCUUAGGCAUGCAUUGAACAUUGUAAAUGAAUUAAAGGACACGAAAGAAGUCUAAGAACAUUAGGCAAACUAAAAAAUGGAUUGAAUGGUAUUAUGAUCCAAUGUGUUAUGAAUUAUGUAGGGUCAAGUGCAAGGACAAAUCAAGCACCAGAACACUGUGAGCAGUGGGAUGUCCAGCCUCAACCCCAAUGAGCAAUGAGAAACCAAGUUUUGAGGAGUCAACCAAGGUCACCUCACGCAAGAGGCCUUACUUUGUUUUGCUUUUCCUUUUGUUCUUUUGUGGUCACGUAUGACCAACCCUAUGUAUAACUUUGGUUUUUGUUAAUACUAGCUUUGAAUGAUCCUGGACUUAUGUAAUACGUGCAUAAUAUGGAUGUUUGUAUAGUGUGAGUUAUUUCAUAUUUGAGAAUGUUUUUUGGUUGAGCCAUGUAUGCACAGCUCAUUAGACAAUCUUUGUAAAUUUUGCUUCCGCAAUUUGGCC